rnacentral:rRNA from 1 species
GGCAACCCUGACGGAGCAACGCCGCGUGUGGGAGGACGGCCUUCGGGUUGUAAACCACUUUUCUCAGGGAAGAAGGACUGACGGUACCUGAGGAAUAAGCCUCGGCUAACUCCGUGCCAGCAGCCGCGGUAAGACGGAGGAGGCAAGCGUUAUCCGGAAUUAUUGGGCGUAAAGCGUCCGCAGGGGGCACAUCAAGUCUGCUGUUAAAGGCUGGAGCUUAACUCCGGUAGAGCAGUGGAAACUGGUGUGCUAGAGGGCGACAGGGGUAGAGGGAAUUCCCAGUGUAGCGGUGAAAUGCGUAGAUAUCGGGAAGAACACCAGUGGCGAAGGCGCUCUACUGGGCCGCGACUGACGCUGAGGGACGAAAGCUAGGGGAGCG